rnacentral:pre_miRNA from 1 species
UAUUAAAAAUUUUAUUUAUUUCUGUUGUUAAAAAUUAGCAUAACUGACAAAAUAACUAAAUAAUUAUACAUGGCAUGCUACAUAUACCUCAUGUUAACGUACAGGGGCUAGUUUUAACCAUAAAAAUUGAUGAAGUUUUUAAUA